rnacentral:rRNA from 1 species
GGCUCAGAAUCAACGCUGGCGGCGUGCCUAACACAUGCAAGUCGGACGAGAAAGUGGGGGCAACCCUGCGAGUACAGUGGCAGACGGGUGAGUAACACGUGAACAACCUACCCUUGAGUGGGGAAUAACACCGCGAAAGCGGUGCUAAUACCGCAUAAAAUCUUAUAGCUGCAUGGCUUAGAGAUCAAAAGCGAGAGUUGCUUGAGGAGGGGUUCGCGGCUGAUUAGCUAGUUGGUGAGGUAACGGCCCACCAAGGCAACGAUCAGUAGCCGGCCUGAGAGGGCGAACGGCCACACUGGAACUGAGACACGGUCCAGACUCCUACGGGAGGCAGCAGUGGGGAAUUUUGCGCAAUGGGCGAAAGCCUGACGCAGCAACGCCGCGUGGAGGAUGAAGGCCUUCGGGCCGUAAACUCCUGUCGAUGGGGACGAAGUACUAGCGAUAGUAUUGACUGUACCCGUUGAGGAAGCCACGGCUAACUCCGUGCCAGCAGCCGCGGUAAUACGGAGGUGGCAAGCGUUGUUCGGAAUUACUGGGCGUAAAGGGCGCGUAGGCGGCCUGACAAGUCAGAUGUGAAAGCCCCGGGCUCAACUCGGGAAUUGCAUCUGAAACUGUUGGGCUUGAGUUCUGGAGGGGAUGGUGGAAUUCCCAGUGUAGCGGUGAAAUGCGUAGAUAUUGGGAGGAACACCUGCGGCGAAGGCGGCCAUCUGGACAGUGACUGACGCUGAGGCGCGAAAGCUAGGGGAGCGAACGGGAUUAGAUACCCCGGUAGUCCUAGCUGUAAACGAUGGGCACUUGGUGUUGGGGGUAUUGAGUCCCUCGGUGCCGGAGCUAACGCGAUAAGUGCCCCGCCUGGGGAGUACGGUCGCAAGACUGAAACUCAAAG